rnacentral:rRNA from 1 species
GCCGACAGCGCAUGUUCAGUGAAAUCGAGUAGGGCGGGACACGUGUUAUCCUGUCUGAAUAUGGGGGGACCAUCCUCCAAGGCUAAAUACUCCUGACUGACCGAUAGUGAACCAGUACCGUGAGGGAAAGGCGAAAAGAACCCCUGUGAGGGGAGUGAAAUAGAACCUGAAACCGUGUACGUACAAGCAGUAGGAGCAGGCUUUGUCCUGUGACUGCGUACCUUUUGUAUAAUGGGUCAGCGACUUAUAUUCAGUGGCAAGGUUAACCAUUUAGGGGAGCCGUAGGGAAACCGAGUCUUAACUGGGCGUUCAGUCUCUGGAUAUAGACCCGAAACCGGGUGAUCUAGCCAUGGGCAGGUUGAAGGUUGAGUAACAUCAACUGGAGGACCGAACCGACUAAUGUUGAAAAAUUAGCGGAUGACUUGUGGCUAGGGGUGAAAGGCCAAUCAAACUCGGAGAUAGCUGGUUCUCCCCGAAAGCUAUUUAGGUAGCGCCUCGGACGAAUACUACUGGGGGUAGAGCACUGUUAAGGCUAGGGGGUCAUCCCGACUUACCAACCCUUUGCAAACUCCGAAUACCAGUAAGUACUAUCCGGGAGACACACGGCGGGUGCUAACGUCCGUCGUGGAGAGGGAAACAACCCAGACCGCCAGCUAAGGUCCCAAAUUACAGCUAAGUGGGAAACGAUGUGGGAAGGCUCAGACAGCUAGGAUGUUGGCUUAGAAGCAGCCAUCAUUUAAAGAAAGCGUAAUAGCUCACUAGUCGAGUCGGCCUGCGCGGAAGAUGUAACGGGGCUAAGCUGUAAACCGAAGCUGCGGCAAUGCGAUUUAUCGUAUUGGGUAGGGGAGCGUUCUGUAAGCCGUUGAAGGUGUGUUGUAAAGCAUGCUGGAGGUAUCAGAAGUGCGAAUGCUGACAUGAGUAACGACAAGGGGGGUGAAAAACCUCCCCGCCGGAAGACCAAGGGUUCCUGUCCAACGUUAAUCGGGGCAGGGUAAGUCGACCCCUAAGGCGAGGCCGAAAGGCGUAGUCGAUGGGAAACGGGUUAAUAUUCCCGUACUUCUUACAAUUGCGAUGGGGGGACGGAGAAGGCUAGGUGGGCCUGGCGACGGUUGUCCAGGUUCAAGUGCGUAGGCUUGAGGGUUAGGUAAAUCCGGCUCUCUCUAAGGCUGAGACACGACGUCGAGCUACUACGGUAGUGAAGUCAUUGAUGCCAUGCUUCCAGGAAAAGCCUCUAAGCUUCAGAUUGUAAGGAAUCGUACCCCAAACCGACACAGGUGGUCGGGUAGAGAAUACCAAGGCGCUUGAGAGAACUCGGGUGAAGGAACUAGGCAAAAUGGUACCGUAACUUCGGGAGAAGGUACGCUCUUGAUGGUGAAGUCCCUCGCGGAUGGAGCUGAUGAGAGUCGCAGAUACCAGGUGGCUGCAACUGUUUAUUAAAAACACAGCACUGUGCAAAAUCGUAAGAUGACGUAUACGGUGUGACGCCUGCCCGGUGCCGGAAGGUUAAUUGAUGGGGUUAGCGUAAGCGAAGCUCUUGAUCGAAGCCCCGGUAAACGGCGGCCGUAACUAUAACGGUCCUAAGGUAGCGAAAUUCCUUGUCGGGUAAGUUCCGACCUGCACGAAUGGCGUAAUGAUGGCCACGCUGUCUCCACCCGAGACUCAGUGAAAUUGAAAUCGCUGUGAAGAUGCAGUGUACCCGCGGCUAGACGGAAAGACCCCGUGAACCUUUACUACAGCUUGGCACUGAACAUUGAACCUACAUGUGUAGGA